GAGAGAUUAGCUCAAUUGGAUAGAGCGUUGGCCUCCGGAGCCAAAGGUUGCGUGUUCGAUUCACGUAUCUCUCA
rnacentral:tRNA from 1 species